rnacentral:rRNA from 1 species
UAGCGUAUAUUAAAGUUGUUGCAGUUAGAACGCUCGUAGUCGGAUUUCGGAUUAGUCUGACCGGUCUGCCGAUGGGUACGCACUGGUCAGAGUGGUCUUUCUGCCGGAGACCGUGCCUACUCUUAACUGAGCGGGGGCGGGAGACGGCACUUUUACUUUGAAAAAAUCAGAGUGUUUCAAGCAGGCAGCUCGCUCUUGCAUGGAUUAGCAUGGGAUAAUGAAAUAGGACUUUGGUGCUAUUUUGUUGGUUUCGAACACCGAAGUAAUGAUGAGAAGGGACAGUCAGGGGCACUCGUAUUCCGCCGAGAGAGGUGAAAUUCUCAGACCAGCGGAAGACGAACCACUGCGAAAGCAUUUG